GGAGGAAUAUUGCACAACGGGGGGAACCCAGGUGCAGCAACGCCGCGUGAGUGAAGAAGGCCUUCGGGUUGUAAAACUCUUUUCUGAGGGAUGAGGAAGGACAGUACCUCAGGAAUAAGUCUCGGCUAACUACGUGCCAGCAGCCGCGGUAAGACGUAGGAGGCGAGCGUUAUACGGAUUUACUGGGCGUAAAGGGCAAGUAGGCGGCAUAACAAGUCAGUUGUGACAGAUCCCGGCUCAACUGUGAGAGGACGAUGGAGACUGUUAAGCUAGAGGACAGGAGGGGGGAGCGGAAUUCCUUGUGUAGCGGUGGAAUGCUCAGAUACAAGGAAGAACACCAGUGGCGAAGGCGGCUCUCUGGCCUGAUCCUGACGCUGAAGAGCGAAAGCUAGGGGAGCGAACG
rnacentral:rRNA from 1 species